rnacentral:misc_RNA from 1 species
GAUGAAGAACGUAGCGAAAUGCGAUAAGUAGUGUGAAUUGCAGAAUUCAGUGAAUCAUCGAAUCUUUGAACGCACAUUGCGCCCGCCAGCAUUCUGGCGGGCAUGCCUGUUCGAGCGUCAUUUCAACCCUCGCAGCCCAUCUGGGCAGCGGUGUUGGGGACCGGCACCACCGGCGAAGCCCUUAGGGGCCCAGCCGGCGCCGCCCCCGAAAUACAGUGGCGGUCUCGCUGCAGCCUCCCUUGCGUAGUAGCACACCUCGCACCGGAGCGCAGCGCGGCCACGCCGUAAAACCCCCGACUUUCUGAGUUUGACCUCGAAUCAGGUAGGAAUACCCGCUGAACUUAAGCAUAUCAAUAAGCGGAGGA